rnacentral:rRNA from 1 species
GACGAACGCUGGCGGCGUGCUUAACGCAUGCAAGUCGAACGAAAAGAGGGAAAGAGCUUGCUCUUUCCGGAAUUGAGUGGCAAACGGGUGAGUAACACGUAAACAACCUGCCUUCAGGAUGGGGACAACAGACGGAAACGACUGCUAAUACCGAAUAAGUUCCAAGGGCCGCAUGGCCCAUGGAAGAAAAGGUGGCCUCUACCUGUAAGCUAUCGCCUGAAGAGGGGUUUGCGUCUGAUUAGCUGGUUGGAGGGGUAACGGCCCACCAAGGCGACGAUCAGUAGCCGGUCUGAGAGGAUGAACGGCCACACUGGAACUGAGACACGGUCCAGACUCCUACGGGAGGCAGCAGUGGGGAAUCUUCCGCAAUGGGCGGAAGCCUGACGGAGCAACGCCGCGUGAGUGAUGACGGCCUUCGGGUUGUAAAACUCUGUGAUCCGGGACGAAAAGGCAGAGUGCGAAGAACAAACUGCAUUGACGGUACCGGAAAAGCAAGCCACGGCUAACUACGUG